rnacentral:misc_RNA from 1 species
GAUGAAGAACGUAGCGAAAUGCGAUACGUAAUGUGAAUUGCAAAUUCAGUGAAUCAUCGAGUCUUUGAACGCACAUUGCGCCCCCUGGUAUUCCGGGGGGCAUGCCUGUCCGAGCGUCAUUGCUGCCCUCAAGCACGGCUUGUGUGUUGGGCCCCGUCCUCCGAUCCCGGGGGACGGGCCCGAAAGGCAGCGGCGGCACCGCGUCCGGUCCUCGAGCGUAUGGGGCUUUGUCACCCGCUCUGUAGGCCCGGCCGGCGCUUGCCGACACAUCAAUCUUUUUUCCAGGUUGACCUCGGAUCAGGUAGGGAUACCCGCUGAACUUAAGCAUAUCAAUAAGCGGAGGA